GAUGAACGCUGGCGGCGUGCCUAAUACAUGCAAGUCGAGCGAACAGAUGAGGAGCUUGCUCCUCUGACGUUAGCGGCGGACGGGUGAGUCACACGUGGAUAACCUACCUAUAAGACUGGGAUAACUUCGGGAAACCGGCGCUAAUACCGGAUAAUAUAUUGAACCGCAUGGUUCAAUAGUGAAAGACGGUUUUGCUGUCACUUAUAGAUGGAUCCGCGCCGCAUUAGCUAGUUGGUAAGGUAAAGGCUUACCAAGGCAACGAUGCGUAGCCGACCUGAGAGGGUGAUCGGGCACCCUGGAACUGAGACAGGGUACAGACUCCUACGGGAGGAAGCAGUAGGGAAUCUUACGCAAUGGGCGAAAGCUGGACGGAGCAACGCCGCGGGAGUGAUGAAGGUCUUCGGAUCGGAAAACGCUGUUAGUAGUGAAGAACAAAUGUGUAAGUAACGAUGCACGUCUUGACGGUACCUAAUCAGAAAGCCACGGCUAACUACGUG
rnacentral:rRNA from 1 species